rnacentral:rRNA from 1 species
CUCGUAGGCGGUUCGUCGCGUCCGGUGUGAAAGUCCAUCGCUUAACGGUGGAUCCGCGCCGGGUACGGGCGGGCUUGAGUGCGGUAGGGGAGACUGGAAUUCCCGGUGUAACGGUGGAAUGUGUAGAUAUUGGGAAGAACACCAAUGGCGAAGGCAGGUCUCUGGGCCGUUACUGACGCUGAGGAGCGAAAGCGUGGGGAGCGAACA